UCGAAGGCCUCCUGCCCACUACUCCAC
rnacentral:piRNA from 1 species